CCCGUGCUACAACCGCUCAACAUCAGGUUUUAAGCUUUUGCCUUUUUGGUAAAACGCCUGUGAUUGGCGAGUCUGAGACAUUUA
rnacentral:sRNA from 1 species